UAUUCAUUUAUUCGUUCAAAUCAUGGCUGGCAUCACACAGCCAAGGCUGUCGAUCUAGUUGUGACUAUUAAUAAUUAUUAUCAAGGGCUAACCUUUAACAAUUUGAACACUGUUCAGUAACUGACAGUUGUUUGGUCACUAAUUUGAUGACUAUUAUAUUUAAGGUAUGGAUUUAAGUCACGGUGUGUAUGUAUUAAAUUCAGGGAUGGCUGGAUCUGAUUGUGUCAUUAUUUCCCUUUUUAUAUGCCUCCAGUACAGCUGCAGUAGAUACCUCCUUCAGACAUGCAGCACAAGUUGUGAGGGUGGAUAGCCAGAAGUAAAGCAAGCAUCAGCCAGAAGACUUCAAAGUUUAGCUGCUGAGUACUUCAAUGCUGCUACACACUCCAUAGGACCUGACUCACCACACAAAGGACUCCAAACUCAUGCCAAGAAGUUCAGCAUUCAGACACAGAAGAAGGCAGCCUGUGCUUGUUUGGACCCUACACGGAGUGCUUCGCAGCAGUGGACUUGAAUAUAGAUGACAAGAGGAUGUCUGUACGCAGUUCCACAGAAUGUACUAGUAACUCAGGUGUUCACAGUUUGGCUGGACUUUAAAAGUUUACUCAUCUGUAUUUCAAUAUCUUUAUUGACAACAA